ACUUUUAACAACGGAUCUCUUGGCUCUAGCAUCGAUGAAGAACGCAGCGAAACGCGAUAUGUAGUGUGAAUUGCAGAAUUCAGUGAAUCAUCGAAUCUUUGAACGCACAUGGCGCCUUCCAGUAUCCUGGGAGGCAUGCCUGUCCGAGCGUCGUUUCAACCCUCGAGCCCCAGUGGCCCGGUGUUGGGGAUCUACGUCUGUAGGCCCUUAAAAGCAGUGGCGGACCCGCGUGGCCCUUCCUUGCGUAGUAGUUACAGCUCGCAUCGGAGUCCCGCAGGCGCUUGCCUCUAAACCCCCUACAAGCCCGCCUCGUGCGGCAACGGUUGACCUCGGAUCAGGUAGGAAUACCCGCUGAACUUAAGCAUAUCAAUAAGCGGAGGAAAAGAAACCAACAGGGAUUGCCUUAGUAACGGCGAGUGAAGCGGCAACAGCUCAAAUUUGAAAUCUGGCUCCUUCGGGGUCCGAGUUGUAAUUUGCAGAGGAUGCUUCGAGUUAUGGUUCCUUCCGAGUUCCCUGGAACGGGACGCCAUAGAGGGUGAGAGCCCCGUCUGGUAGGAAACCAUGCUCAUGUGAAGCUCCCUCGACGAGUCGAGUAGUUUGGGAAUGCUGCUCUAAGGGGAGGUAUACUCCUUCCAAGGCUAAAUACCGGCUAGAGACCGAUAGCGCACAAGUAGAGUGAUCGAAAGAUGAAAAGUACUUUGAAAAGAGAGUCAAACAGCACGUGAAAUUGUUAAAAGGGAAGCGCUCGCUACCAGACGUGGGUUCGGUGGUUCAACCAGGUCCAUGACCUGGGGCACUCCGCCGGCCCAGGCCAGCAUCAGCUUUCCGUCGGGGGCAAAGGCGUCGGGAAUGUGGCUCUCCUUCGGGGGAGUGUUAUAGCCCGUCGCGUCAUACCCUUCGGGGGGCUGAGGUACGCGCUCCGCAAGGAUGCUGGCGUAAUGGUAGCUAGUGACCCGUCUUGAAACACGGACCAAGGAGUCAACCUUAUGUGCGAGUGCCCGGGCGUAAAACCCCAGCGCGGAAUGAAAGUGAACGUAGGUGAGAGCUUCGGCGCAUCACCGACCGAUCCUGAUGUCCUCGGACGGAUUUGAGUGAGAGCAUAUAGGGUUGGACCCGAAAGAAGAUGAACUAUGCGUGUGUAGGGUGAAGCCAGAGGAAACUCUGGUGGAGGCUCGCAGCGGUUCUGACGUGCAAAUCGAUCGUCAAACAUGCGCAUGGGGGCGAAAGACUAAUCGAAUCUUCUGGUAGCUGGUUUCCGCCGAAGUUUCCCUCAGGAUAGCAGUGUUGAUCCCAGUUUUAUGAGGUAAAGCGAAUGAUUAGGGACUCGGGGGCGCUAUUUAGCCUUCAUCCAUUCUCAAACUUUAAAUAUGUAAGAAGUCCCCGUUACUUUAUUGAACGCGGACGCUGGAAUGAAACAACACUAGUGGGCCAUUUUUGGUAAGCAGAACUGGCGAUGCGGGAUGAACCGAACGCGAGGUUAAGGUGCCGGAGUGGACGCUCAUCAGACACCACAAAAGGUGUUAGUACAUCUUGACAGCAGGACGGUGGCCAUGGAAGUCGGAAUCCGCUAAGGACUGUGUAACAACUCACCUGCCGAAUGUACUAGCCCUGAAAAUGGAUGGCGCUCAAGCGUCCCACCCAUACCUCGCCCUCGGCGCGGGCUCGGCGCGUCGAGGAGUAGGCGGACGUGGAGGUCGGUGACGAAGCCUAGGACGUGAGUCCGGGUGGAACGGCCUCUAGUGCAGAUCUUGGUGGUAGUAGCAAAUACUUCAAUGAGAACUUGAAGGACCGAAGUGGGGAAAGGUUCCAUGUGAACAGCGGUUGGACGUGGGUCAGUCGAUCCUAAGCUAUAGGGAAGUUCCGUUUCAAAGGGGCGCUUUUGCCCCGUAUAGCGAAAGGGAAGCUGGUUAAUAUUCCAGCACCUGGAUGUGGGUUUUGCGCGGCAACGCAACCGAACGCGGAGACGACGGCGGGGGCCCCGGGAAGAGUUCUCUUUUCUUCUUAACGAUCUAUCACCCUGGAAUCGGUUUGUCCGGAGAUAGGGUUCAACGGUCGGAAGAGCCCAGCGCUUCUGCUGGGUCCGGUGCGUCCUCGACGUCCCUUGAAAAUCCGCGGGAGGGAAUAAUUCUCACGCCAGGUCGUACUCAUAACCGCAGCAGGUCUCCAAGGUGAACAGCCUCUGGUUGAUAGAACAAUGUGGAUAAGGGAAGUCGGCAAAACAGAUCCGUAACUUCGGGAAAAGGAUUGGCUCUAAGGAUCGGGCGCGUUGGGCCUUGAAUAGACGGUUCGGCGGCGGGAGGUCACUAGCUGGGCAACCAGCCGGAGGCUCCCUGCUGCUUAGCUCGACGCUCUUGGCAGGCUUCGGCCGUCCGGCGCGCGUUUAACGAUCAACUUAGAACUGGCGCGGACAGGGGGAAUCUGACUGUCUAAUUAAAACAUAGCAUUGCGAUGGCCAGAAAGUGGUGUUGACGCAAUGUGAUUUCUGCCCAGUGCUCUGAAUGUCAAAGUGAAGUAAUUCAACCAAGCGCGGGUAAACGGCGGGAGUAACUAUGACUCUCUUAAGGUAGCCAAAUGCCUCGUCAUCUAAUUAGUGACGCGCAUGAAUGGAUCAACGAGAUUCCCACUGUCCCUAUCUACUAUCUAGCGAAACCACAGCCAAGGGAACGGGCUUGGCAGAAUCAGCGGGGAAAGAAGACCCUGUUGAGCUUGACUCUAGUUUGACAUUGUGAAAAGACAUGGGAGGUGUAG
rnacentral:rRNA from 1 species